AAAAGAAAAACGCCCAGAACAUCAGAUCCGCCACCCGCAAUCCGCCGGCCUUGCCCGUCACCCACGACAGCCGUCGACGGCCCCUCCGCGCCUCCACUGCCUCCGUCCAAGCGGCCACCGCCGCGCGGGCGGACGGGGAUCGCGGCGGACUACGGGGACGCCGCGGCCUUCUCCUCCCUCUCUCCCCCCGCGGGACCUUCCCGUCCCCGCCGAUCCGCCGCCCCGUACGCCGAUCGCCAUCUCCGCCGUCCAGUCCGCGGCCCCCUACGCCGAUCGCGACGCACAGCCCCCCUCUAACAAGGUACUGAUCCCCUCAUCGCAGUUAAGGGGUUUGUCCGUUGCCAUGACCGACUCGAAAUACGCUGUGGCACUCCGAUUGGCAUCUGAUUUGGACUCGUCCCAACCCUUCCCAAUUUCCCCCUCCUCGCCUAUAUAAGGGAGCCACUACGGUGGCAGAUCCCACGAAGAAGAGAGGAAUAGAGGCUUGACAACACCACGCCC